CCUUGGUGGUACAUGCCUGUAGUCCCAGCUACUUGGAAGGCUGAGACAUGAGGAUUGUUUGACUCCAGGAGUUCUGGGCUGUAGUGUGCCAUACCAAUCCGGUGUCCGCACUUAGUUCAGCACCUAUAUGGUGACUUCCCGGAAGCAGGGGACCACCAGGUUGCCUAAGGACAGAUGAUCCAGGCCCGGUUGGAAACAGUAGGUCAAAACUUCCAUGCUGAUCAGUAGUGGGAUCGCACCUGUGAAUAGCUGCUGAACUUUAGCUCCAGCUUGGGCAACAUAGUGAAACCCUGUCUUU
rnacentral:SRP_RNA from 1 species